GAGUCUGAGAAUUUUAGUGAGUUCUUGGUUGCUGUGCAUGUUUUCUGCCAUUCUUCUUCUAUACACAAUCAACUUGCUCUUCUCCUAUUGCAUUUUCUCAAUUUUACUACAUAAACACAUCUUCUAUCAUAUUGUUUAUCCAUGCAUGGAGCAAGAAAAUAAUCUGACUGCACCAUUCUGGACCUCUUGACAUUUAGAGAGAGUUGGGAUUUAGACAUACCAUAGAAGAAGGAAUUGCACAAUUCAAGAUGAGAAGUGAUUAAGACAUGAACAAGGAUUUCAGCAGAAGCAAGGUCAAGGUAAAGAUGAACUCAAGCAGAAUUUCAUAGGUGGAAGUAAGCAAGAGGAUGAGAAAGACGGUCUGGUGCUAUGAAAAAGCCAUUUAUUGUUUUGAAUUUUGCACUGGUGGGAUAGAAAUGUAAAGAAAUGUAAUAUAUUUUAAUUAUGCUGUGCUAGCUAGGGCAUAGAGAUGCCAAAUGCUUAGUGACACAUUGCUGUAGUUUCCUGUGACUCCCUCUUACUUACAUAUUUUUUUCCUACUCUCAAUCCAUUUCUGUAUGUGGGAAAUGCCAGGCACUUGAAUUAAACAUUUUACAUGCUACAAUUAUAACAAAGAAAUUCAUAGCAAAUGACUGCUAAAAUUUUGUUUACUCUACUUGCUAGUGUCAAAGAAGUCUCCAUAGUAUCUUAUUCCCAAUGUCUGUUUGUGGGAAGAAGGAAUACUUGCUCAGAAAUCAUGUGCAGUUUCUAGGUCAGCUUUGUUUUGCAUUUCCUAUCAUCUCUCCACGCUCUUUAACGUGCUGAAUAGCUUGUAGGUGUUUGGUCUGCUGGUGAAAAAAGCUUAAGACCAGUCACUGAGAGAAUCCUCAGCCCCUGCAAUGGGGCAGCCUGCCAUGUGCUUGUGCUGUGGAGAGGAAUCUGAAAAGAGGAAUGGCAAGGUCAAAGUGCAAAUCUAUGGAAGUGGACAUCAAGGCUGACAGACUUUUCACAGUUUGGCACUGCCAGCUUUGGAGCUAUCUCCCUUUUUGUGUCAGUGAAGAUGAGCUGAUGUGCCUCAAGGGAUCAAGACUGUCAACCCUGACUCUGAUAGAUGGCUUCUUGGCCAGUGGAGCUAUGCAUCUUAUAGUCUCUGCAGAGCUCUAGACUCUCAGGAAUACCUUCCAGUCCAGGACAUUCUGUUUCCCUCUGUUGAGGAAUGGCACUUAGGUACAUGCUGUCCUGAAAUUAUAUACUCUCCUGAAUCAGAGCCCAGGUGAGAUGGAGCAGAAGGGUGGAUGAAGUAAAGGUUUGAUGUGCUGGUGACCUGGGAGUUGUGCAGAGAGGGCAGCAUGAAUAAUUUUGCUGGAACUCCAAGAAAAGCUACAGAGCCCAUUGGGACCAUAUGACUC
rnacentral:lncRNA from 1 species